rnacentral:tRNA from 1 species
GUUUUAAUAAUUUAAUAAAAAUAUUGAUUUUGUAAAUCAAAUUUGGAUAGUUCCUUAAAUCA